UUUUUCAUUUCAGAUUUAAAAAGACUGGGAAUAUAAAAAAAAGAAUUGACCAGGGAAGAAAUAAAGAUAAUAGGAGAACAAGUUGUCAUCAUGGUAGAUAGAUUUCCAUUUUCUAGGUUGGGGGAAACUUCUACUUGGGAUGUACAGAUAGAUGUUAAGAUGGAAAAUACAGAAUUCUUAGAUGUGGGUGGUGAAAAUGCGACACAAGAAAUAAAGUUGGAAGAUAUUGAGAUAAAAGAAGAGACCGUUUUCAUUAAG